GACGAACGCUGGCGGCGUGCUUAACACAUGCAAGUCGAACGGAAGGGCCCUGCUUUUGUGGGGUGCUCGAGUGGCGAACGGGUGAGUAACACGUGAGUAACCUGCCCUUGACUUUGGGAUAACUUCAGGAAACUGGGGCUAAUACCGGAUAGGAGCUCCUGCUGCAUGGUGGGGGUUGGAAAGUUUCGGCGGGUGGGGAUGGACUCGCGGCUUAUCAGCUUGUUGGUGGGGUAGUGGCUUACCAAGGAUUUGACGGGUAGCCGGCCUGAGAGGGUGACCGGCCACAUUGGGACUGAGAUACGGCGCAGACUCCUACGGGAGGCAGCAGUGGGGAAUAUUGCACAAUGGGAGGAAGCCUGAGGCAGCGACGCCGCGUGCGGGAUGACGGCCUUCGGGUUGUAAACCGCUUUCGCCUGUGACGAAGCGUGAGUGACGGUAAUGGGUAAAGAAGCACCGGCUAACUACGUG
rnacentral:rRNA from 1 species